UUAUAGUUAUUUUAGUUAUUCGUGUAAGAAAAUUCCGUUACAAAAUGAUUGGAGACUAUGAGGCUCAGCGGGAACGUGUUGCUUUUUCUAUUCCAUAAUUUUAUCGUCAAUUUCGAUUUUUCCACGGAUCAUAAAAGAUGGCCCACCGGUAUUUCAUUUGUUAUAUUUUUCGUAGAUUAUCAACAGUUUUGCAGUAUUUUUGGUUUAAGCGGCGGUUAUGACUGAUAUUAUCCGGACGGCCCG